UGGCGGACGGGUGAGUAAUGUCUGGGAAACUGCCUGAUGGAGGGGGAUAACUACUGGAAACGGUAGCUAAUACCGCAUAACGUCGCAAGACCAAAGAGGGGGACCUUAGGGCCUCUUGCCGUCGGAUGUGCCCAGAUGGGAUUAGCUAGUAGGUGGGGUAACGGCUCACCUAGGCGACGAUCCCUAGCUGGUCUGAGAGGAUGACCAGCCACACUGGAACUGAGACACGGUCCAG
rnacentral:rRNA from 1 species